rnacentral:rRNA from 1 species
AUUGAACGCUGGCGGCAGGCCUAACACAUGCAAGUCGAGCGAGCGGCGGACGGGUGAGUAAUGUCUGGGAAACUGCCUGAUGGAGGGGGAUAACUACUGGAAACGGUAGCUAAUACCGCAUACCAUCAGAUGUGCCCAGAUGGGAUUAGCUAGUAGGUGGGGUAACGGCUCACCUAGGCGACGAUCCCUAGCUGGUCUGAGAGGUUGACCAGCAAAACUGGACCUGAGACCCGGUCCAGACUCCGCCGGGAGGCAGCAGUGGGGAUGAUCUCACAAUGGGCGCAAGCCUGAUGCACACAUGCCGCGUGGGUGAAGAAGGCCUUCGGGUUGUAAAGCACGUUCAGCGGGGAGGCGUUACCCGCAGAAGAAGCACCGGCUAACUCCGUGCCAGCAGCCGCGGUAAUUC